rnacentral:snRNA from 1 species
GUGCUCCUCCUUUGGCGCUUUUAUAUAAUACAAUUGGAAACGAUGCAGAGAAGAUUAGCAUGGACCUUGUCUAAGUUUCUUUAUGCAAAUUUGUGAAGUGUUCCAUAUUUUU